CCUACGGGCGGCAGCAGUGGGGAAUAUUGCACAAUGGGGGAAACGCUGAUGCAGCAACGCCGCGUGGGUGAAGGAGCGUUUCGGCGCGUAAAGCCCUGUCAGCGGGGAAGAAGAAAGACGGUACCCGACCAAGAAGCCCCGGCUAACUACGUGCCAGCAGGCGCGGUAAUACGUAGGGGGCGAGCGUUAUCCGGAAUUACUGGGGGUAAAGGGAGCGUAUACGGCGAGGUAAGCCUGAGGUGGAAGCCCGCGGCCCAAACGCGGGCCUGCUUUGGGAACUGGUUUGCUUGAGUAUGGGAGGGGUAUGCGGAAUUCGUGGUGUAGCGGUGAAAUGCGUAGAUAUCGGGAGGAACACCGGUGGCGAAGGCGGCUUACUGG
rnacentral:rRNA from 1 species